CAAUGUGCUGACAAAGCCCAAUAUAAACACAAAGUAAAAACACUUCUGUCGGGGCAUGUUGCAGCCUUUGUGAAUCCAUGUUGAAUUCACAAUUUCAGAUAAACUAGUCGGUGUUAGAACUAGUUAGUUCUGAUGCAAGGUCAUGCCCCAAAUUCAUUAUCGUGAUUAUUCUCCCCACGGAUGCUACAUGAUUUGCUGAAAAUUUCAUCUUUGUAUCUAUUCAGGGACUCUUUGGCCAACCUAAAUGACUUUGCCAUUGCCAUCACAGACUUCGUCAGUGGAUGUGCAGAGGAACAUGUGCCAAAGAAGCCAAUGUGAGUGGUCCCCAACCCUGAGGUCCAUUCCCAGGUGAAGUUCAAGUUGACCAUCUCAAAGCCAUCAAGUGUGCCGAGAGAGAAUUCUGGACAAAGCUAGAAUCCUGGGAUAACUAAUCAGACACCCAUUCCAAAGCCAGCAUGCUAGAACAGACCAUAAAGUCAAGAUGGGCAGUAUCGAUUGUAGUAAUACGUCCCUCCCCAAUGAGCUUGGUGCAUCUAUGAUCUCUUUGACUAAAAGAUCGCAAUGCACUUCUACAUGAUCAAAGGCAGCCAAUAAACAACUAAAAUAUGAAAAUAAAGUGAAAUAAAC